rnacentral:lncRNA from 13 species
CCCAGCAUUGGCCUGCUGGCAUCCUCUCUGGGCCCAGAACGUCUUCAGGCCCGAAAGCUCAGGCUCUCCAGGCCCACCCAGCUCAUGUCUCACGCUGGCCUCUCCAGGCUCGGCUCCUGCCCUCCCAGGGCAUCUCCAGGCCUCAGACGUUCCCGAGUCGGCUUCUGCUGGCCCGGCUCCUGCUGCCUCAUCAUGCUGGCCUCGGGAGGCCCAAGCAUUGGUUCCUGAAGUUUAUCUCUGCAGGCCCAGCUUCUGCCUUCCCGGCAGCCCCCCAACAUGGGCUCCUCCAGGGCAAGCUCCUGCCUCCCAACAGCCGCCUGGGACACAGCUGCUGCCUUCUGUCAGCCUCUUCGGGAGGCCCAGCCUCUGCCUCCCUACUGCCGGCCCCCACACACCCGGAUCAUCAUCCUGGCUGCGUCUAUCUGCCAAUGUUUUGCCCCCUGGCGGCUUCUUUUGGCUCGGCGCCUGGCCAGCUCCCGACGGCCUCUCGUCUGUCGGCCCGAAGCUUCCUCGGGGAUUUCGGGGUGUCCCUUCUGCCUCCCAGUGGCCUAGACAGGCCCAGCUACAUCCUGACAUCGGCCUCUCCAUGCCCACUUCUGGCCUCCCUACAGCACCCUCAGCACCAUCCACUGUGUGCUGGCCGCUUCCCCAGGCCAAGAUCCUGCCUACCUCCUGACUUCGUCCACAAACCCAGCGCCUCCCUCACACUGGCCAGUUGAGGCACAGCUUCGCCUCUAGCAGAUGUCUCUGGACCCAGAUCUCACCUGGUGCUGGCCUUGAGUCUGAGCCCAGGUCCUCCCUCGCACCGGCCUUUCUCGGCCCAGCUCGCCUCUCAUAAACUCUCCGGCCAGCUCCUGCCUCCCAGCGGCCUGACCAGGCCCGAAGCUUCCUCUCCGGGCCCAGCCUCUCCAGGCCUGGCUCCUACCUGCACUAGGCCCCUCUGGGCCCAGCCUCCACCUAACAGUGGACCCUCCAGACCCAGCUUAUGGCCUCAUCGUGGCCUGCGCUCAGCCCAGCUCCUGCCUCUGUGGCAGCCUGUCUCCACAGGCCCAGCUCCUGGCCUCCUGGUGGCCCCCUCGGGCCAAACCGGUGCCCCCAGGCGGCCCUCUGUGCCUAGCGUUGGCCUUCUGGCAUCCUCUCCUUGUCCAGAAUGUCAGCCUCUUUGGUCCCAGCCCCUCCUUCUGGCGGCUUCUUAGGGCCAACCUUUUGUCCUCGCCUCGCAGCAACCUCUGUUGCUCGGCUCCUCCCUAGCUCCUGGAGGCCUUUGUAGGACCAAAAGCUCAGGCCCUCGACUCAGGGUUUCCAGGACUACCCAGCUCAUGCCUCAUGCUGGCCUCUCCAGGCUCAGGUUUUGCCCACCCAGGGUUCCUAUAGGCCCCAGAUGUUUCAGAUUCGGCUUCUUCAGGCCCGGUAUUGGACUCCUCCUAUUGGCUUCUGCAGGCCUAAGCAUUGGGUUCUUAAUUUGGCCUCUGCAGGCCCAGCUCCAGUUCUACUGGUGUCUCCUCCCCAUGGGUGCAAACGUCAUCAUGUGGAUUCUUCUAGGGCCAGCUCAUGCUUCCCAAAGGCCCCCUGGGCUUAGCUCCUGCCUCCCGUCAGCCUCUCCUGAAGGCCUAGCAUCUGCCUCGGUACUGGCGGCCUCUCAAGGCCUGGAUCCUCCUCCUGGCCACGUCU